UACGGGGGGGGUAAGCGUUGUUCGGAAUUACUGGGCGUAAAGGGCUCGUAGGCGGCCAACUAAGUCAGACGUGAAAUCCCUCAGCUUAACUGGGGAACUGCGUCUGAUACUGGAUGGCUUGGAUUCGGGAGAGGAAUGCGGAAUUCCAGGUGUAGCGGUGAAAUGCGUAGAUAUCUGGAGGAACACCGGUGGCGAAGGCGGCAUCCUGGACCACGACUGACGCUGAGUGAGCGAAAGCCAGGGGAGCAAACGGG
rnacentral:rRNA from 1 species